rnacentral:misc_RNA from 1 species
GAGAGAGAGAGAGAGAGAGAGAGAGAGAGAGAGAGAGAGAGAGAGAGGGCACGGGGAAUGGCGGAUCCGGGGGAGGGCAAGUUACGAGAUCACAUAAAACCAGUAGAGGAAGACGACCGAGAAGGAGUGGAGGAAGCAGGAGCGGCGCAGGUGAGUGGCGAUCUUCAUAAAGCUCAGAGAUUUCGCAUCAAUAUGCUGCUGCUUCUUCUCAGCCAAACCAUGGCCGGCGAGAACGAAACCUCCCUCCAGCGCAAGGAACCCCGGAGAACCCCAACGCAGAGGUUUGUUUGGAUCUCUGGCUCCGGGAGAGCAGCAGUUCCUGGACUGGCGAACCGGGCAGAGCUUCGGUCCUGGGAGGCUGGCCUGCUCGACCUCUGGCGGAGAAACGAGCUGAAAUCUCGACAAGCUCGUGCUGGCUGCGGGGAAGAAGGCGAGCCACUCCAAUCGGAGGCGGAGAAGAGGGAAGGGGGAGGGGAUCAGGCCGAGCGGGGAGGUGUAUUUAAUGCCGGGACGAGGGCAUCUUUGUAAUUCUCUUGUCAUGGCAGAAUGGCUCCCAUGAAAUGCUGAUGGGAGCAAGGUGAAGGGAAUCUGUCUUGCGUGUCUGUCAGUGACCCUUGUGGGACUCCGUGGGUUGUUCCUGCUCGUGCAUCGUGCGGCCGAAUUGCUGGG